GACGAACGCUGGCGGCGUGCUUAAUACAUGCAAGUCGAACGGACAGGCCCUGCUUUUGCGGGGUGCACGAGUGGCGAACGGGUGCGUAACACGUGAGUACCCUGACCUUGCCUUUGGGAUAACUUCAGGAAACUGGGGCUAAUACUGGCUAGGACCUCAUGAUGCAUGGUAUGGGAUGGUAAGUUUCGGAGGGUGGGGAUGGAAGCGCGGCUUAGCAGCUUGUUGGUGGGGUAGUGGCUUAGCAAGGCAACGACGGGUAGCCGGCCUGAGAGGGAGACCGGCCACAGUGUGACUGAGGAACGGCCCAGACGGCUACGGGAGGCAGCAGUGGAAAAUAUUGCACAAUGGGCGGAAGCCGGAUGCAGCAACUCCGGGUGCGAGAGGACUGCCGUCAGGGUGGAAACCGCGUGCGCCUGGAACGAAGCGUGAGUGACGGUAAUUGAUAAAGAAGCAACGGCUAACUACGUG
rnacentral:rRNA from 1 species